UGAAAAACUUCUCUCACAGCUGGCAUUGC
rnacentral:sRNA from 1 species